CAACCGGUGAAUUAAAACCCUCUGUCUCAGUUUCUUGGUCCUUUUAAAGAACAUUUUCUUCUCUCAGUGUCUCGGCCUCCUCUUCGCCUGCAGCCACGUUUCCUCAUCAGACUCAGAUGUGACGGUGUGCUGCGGCAGGAUUUGGUGUUCCUGUGUUUUCGUUCUGUUGUUGCUGCUGCUGCCAGUUUCUGUUAGGACGGGAGGGAGGACGAGACCCGACAAGUCGUGUCAGCGGCUCCAGAGAACGCUCAUCAUGGUCCUCAGAGGAUGAACUGAAACUCCUACUAUGUUCAGCCUGAGAACCAGAGAGACCACUGAGCUACAGACUCUGCAGGAGAAACCAAAUCU